AAUAAGUGCAGCCAUAAGUUUUCACGCACAACUUUGAUCGUUCAUCUUAUUUAAAAUUUUUUUAUAAUUAAUAUUUUUGUUGUUAUAAGAUGAUAAAACAUGAAUAGUACUUUACCCGUGACUUAUGUUUUUAAUUUUUUUAAAAAAAAAUUCAAAUAUGAUAAAUGAUUAAAGUUGGACGCGGAAAAUCAUAGCUGCAUUUAUU
rfam:Oryza barthii chromosome 3, whole genome shotgun sequence.